rnacentral:misc_RNA from 1 species
GAUGAAGAACGUAGCGAAAUGCGAUAAGUAAUGUGAAUUGCAGAAUUCAGUGAAUCAUCGAAUCUUUGAACGCACAUUGCGCCCCCUGGCAUUCCGGGGGGCAUGCCUGUUCGAGCGUCAUUACAACCCUCAAGCUCUGCUUGGUAUUGGGCUCUGCUGGGACCGGCAGGCCUUAAAAUCAGUGGCGGCGCCACUCGGCUUCAAGCGUAGUAAUUCUUCUCGCUUCGGAGACCCGGGUGCGUGCUAGCCAGCAACCCCCAACUUUCUUAGGUUGACCUCGGAUCAGGUAGGAAUACCCGCUGAACUUAAGCAUAUCAAUAAGCGGAGGA